UACAUGGGGUGCAAACGUUUGCUCGGAAUUAUUGGGCGUAAAGCGCACGUAGGCGGUUCGUUAAGUCGGAUGUGAAAGCCCUCGGCUCAACUGAGGAAGUGCACCCGAAACUGGCGAGCUUGAGUACGAAAGAGGAUCGCGGAAUUCCCGGUGUAGAGGUGAAAUUCGUAGAUAUCGGGAGGAACACCGGUGGCGAAGGCGGCGAAUCUGGGUCGAUACUGACGCUGAGGUGGCGAAAAGCGUGGGGAGCAAACAGG
rnacentral:rRNA from 1 species